AGUCGAGUUGCUUGGGAUUGCAGCUCAAAAUGGGAGGUAAAUUUCUCCUAAAGCUAAAUAUUGGCGAGAGACCGAUAGCGAACAAGUACCGUGAGGGAAAGAUGAAAAGAACUUUGAAAAGAGAGUUAAACAGUACGUGAAAUUGUUGAAAGGGAAACGAUUGGAGUCAGUCGUACCAACGGGAAAUCAAUUCAUCGAGUGUUGAAUUUAGAUCUUGAAGAGUCUUAAAACCUUUGGGUUUCGGAUAUUUUCACUUUUUGAACGUAUUUUCUCGUACGGUAGGUUAACAUCGAUUUUGAAGAUUAUAAAAUGAUCGGAGGAAUGUAGCUUCGAUCUCGUAUUGAAGUGUUAUAGCCUUUGGUAGAUGUAAUGAUCAAGAUCGAGGAUUGCAACGAAUACCUUUUGGGCUAUCCGUCUGAUCUCUGAUACGUUGCCUCGGUAACGAAAGCGUGCUUACGGUAUUGAGGUAUUACGGUCAAAAGGUUAGAACGUGAUUACAUUCGUU
rnacentral:rRNA from 1 species